ACCUACCUUGGAUGUCCAGUUGAAUGCUCUGCGUGGACCUCAGCGUGUUGCCAAUCACGUUGCAUGUGUAAUUUCCUGUGUCAUCAACUGUAACAUCCUGAAGCAGGAGGGAUGCAUUGCCCAUAGACAACUGGGAUGGAAAAAUGUGGGUUCUUCCUCUGAACUGGUGUGAAGUUAAAUCAGAAAGAUCUUCUCCAUCGAUAGUGUAGUGAA